rfam:Schistosoma mansoni strain Puerto Rico chromosome 2, complete genome
AUUCAGCUGACGAGUCCAAAAUAGGACGAAACGCGCGUCAAAGUGGAU